CUAUCAAAAUUUGGCCGCCAUUAUUUUUUGGUAAAAAACAACAGAUGCAGCAUUUUUAUUCUAACAUAAAAACCACGCUUAACAGGGUCUUACUGUACAGAUGAAAAGAAAAGCACAGUUACAACAAACAAAACAUAAAUUUAAAAUAAUUUAACACCCUUAAUUAUAAUCACACUAUGAAAUGUUUUAUCCUCAUAAUUUAUCAUUAAUUUUACGACCAACGACUAGUACUAGAUAACGUAGUUAUAUAUUAAAAGUACUCUUGAAAGGUACAUUUUAAUUUAGUUCGCUAGUAAAUUCGUUUGUUUGUAUACUUGUGGCUUGUUAACUCGUAAAGCAAAGUUUGAUGACCUUUCGUGGCUGCUAAAUUUACAAAUGCACUCGAAAUGUAACCAAUCUAAAUGGUGCUUGCUUCAACUCAAAAGUUGAAUAUGUCGGAUUAUAAAUGAAGAACGUUCCUGCGUAUUGCUUUAACAGAUUAUAAAAGAUUUGAAUUUGUUCAUAAUUAAGUAAACUUCGCAAAUGUUAAGAUUAUUCCAUUUUUGUUGAUCAUCGAUAUAAAAGGACUGUAUAAGACGUAAUCUCCUACUAGAAGUACUAUCUGCAGCCAACUUGCAACCUGUGGUCAUACUAGAUAUAAAAACCUGAGAUGAAAGAUAAGACGGAAGGCGGACGACGGAAUGUUAUAUUUUAGCCUUCGGUCAAGUAAGUUAUUUCAACAUGAAUAACAUUUUAAUAUAUUUGAUUACUUUAUUAUUGGUAGAAAUAAAAUACUUUACUUGUGGCCCCAUCAAGGAGACUACUUUGCAUAAUUCGGGAAUGGAUGUGAUUGUAAAGAUUGUUGAUGAACAAAACCUUACAUCGGCGCUUAAUGGCGAUAAUAUACCAAUUUUCAAUGUUAACUUUGGAAACACAAGUGAUGAUAAUAUAUCACAAGAGAAUGGAGUAACAAUUGAGAACAAUCUUCAGAAUUCCUUCUUUCCGAUGCUAAAUAAUGAAACUGUACAAAAUGUUAUAGUGGGUUCAGAUUUUUUACAAACCGACGAUCCUUUACUGGAAACAUCAACUGAAGUGAAUAGUUCGAUAAAAUAUGAAGAUGGAGUACCUAGAGCCAGUUUUGAAGUUGGUUGUAUUCAGGGUUACGCAAAAGCAGCUGAUGGUUCGUGCCAAGAGGUUUUAUAUGACUAAAUACAUAUCACUAUUAACCCAGAUAUACUUAAACGAUAACAAAUACGAAAUAAUUAACAAGAUUAUCAGUAUAAGUUUACACACGAAGAAAGGAAGUAAUGUUUACAAUGAGGACAGUGAUUUUAGUAUUGUUAUUUGUAGCGGUACUGCGAGUAGAGAGUGGAUUUUUAGAAGAUUUUUUAUCAAAACCAAUCAAUAAAUUCUAUAAUAUGACAGAGAAGAUUCAUAAAGCUAAAUUAGAUGCAAUAUCAAGACUUGACGAAAAAUUAGGAAGAGCCACAAGUCAUAUAACCAAUUAUUUUGACGGACAUUCAAACACAAUCAAAGACAAAAAGGAAGAACAGGGCGGUGAUGUAAAUAAUUCCGAGAAAAUUGUGAUGGAGGAUCCAGUUCCGUCUUUGGAUGUAAACUGUCCAGAAGGUUCACCUGGAGCAUUGAAUGGGUCCUGUUUACCAGACGUUUAUGUGCGGUUUAAUGAUGACAUUGGAGAUAAAGAAUAAGUUUAAUAUGUUUUACAUGUUAACCAUAGAAUGUUGGGACAGUAUGUAACCUUAUCAGCUUAUCUACCUAAUAAAAUUCGCGUACGUAUUUAGUCUUUUCAAAAUUUAAAAUAUAGGAUUUAAAAACAAAGCUUAUUUAAGGUCCGAUAACUCACGGUAAUGAGCCAUAGGGCAAUUGUUUCAUUCGUAAAAUGUUCUGUAUCAUUCUGUGUUUAUAUAUAAUAUGUAUGUGUAAUCUUGAAGACACAUAUGUGUGCUAUUUUUUAAAUUCCUAUACUUCUAUUAAUCAUUCAUUGUUGUAGUUUCUGUGUAUUAUUUUAUCUCAUUUUCUUUUUUUGUGUUGUGUAACUAUUAAUAUUUGCAAAUAAAAUUAAUUAUACAUAAA